CCUCACUCGCUCCUCUCAGAGCUCCAGGAGCGCGGGGCCGCGACUUCCGGCCUGCACGGAAGCGCGUCAGGCACCCUCCUCACUACAAUUCCCAGGAGCCUCCACGCCGCAGACUUCCGGCCCCGCCAUGUUGAGGGCUUGGGUUCGCCUGAGGCCCUUGGCAGGAUGGUGGCCGCUCGGCUAGUGGCGGGGCUCUCGCCUCUGGCCUCCACUCGCGUUCUCUCUCCCGGCCUCCCCGGCGGCGGUGGACGCGUCCUGGGGCGACGCCGGCGCAGCCUCCACACACACACCUUCCCGAGCUACAGAGCCUGUCUGGGUUUGGAUGUCAGGAACUCCGCCGAUGUUUUUGGUGCUGGGAGUCCAGUGUAUCCGCCCUCUCCCUGCUGUAGCAGCCCUUCAGGCGGACACUGGCUCUGCAGUUGUCAUAAAGCACCUACUGGGUGCUCUGCAGUACGUGAGAUGGCCACAAGCCUCUAAACCCAUGGGUAAAUGUCAUCCUAGGCACCUCAGUCCUCUAACCGUCUCAUCUCUUGGACCACUCCCCAAAACCUCGAAGGUAAUCCUCACGGCUGUCCGGUCCAGAAAAGCAUUCGCCCCACUUGACAGCUGCGGUUACCAGCUAACAAGGCUGAAACUGGAUCCCCGCCUCACUGAGGCAGGGCUGACGGAGCCACCCACUUGCCCACCUACCUGCCUGGGGCUGCAUAAAAUCAUCCCUAUCAGCUGCAGCUCCAAGUACCGGCUUUCAGCCCACCAGCUUAAUGACCCUGGGGGAACCUGGGCAAUUUAGUCCCCUCCCCCGCAACUCCCUAUCUAGCUAGGGGGCUAUUAAACAAAUUCACUGAGCCUUUGGGCAAGGGGCUUAAUUCUUCUGGGCCUCAGUUUCCCCUAAGUCCUAAGUGAUUAGGGACCUAAAGCCAAUACUGCAUGAACGACAGUAAAGGCUAAUGGGAGCUGCUGUUUUCUUCUCUCAUGUUCUCUCUGCUGCCUCCUCUCCAGGUAAGCUGUCUCCUUCAUGGUGCCCACUUCCUAGUGAACGCGGACUGAUGAACCAGAACAGCACUGCCCAGUGGAACUUUCUUUGGUGAAGGAAAUGUUCUAGAUCUGCACUGUCCAACAUAGUAGCCAUUAGCUGCAGGUGACCAGUGAACAUUUGAAAGCUGGCCAGUGCGACUAAGGAACUGACUGGACACAAGAGGCCUUCCACAAAUAUUUGUGAAGUAAAGGGGAGGCAAUGGAGGAAAAAAAUCACAUAAAGGACUCUUUGUGACACAGCAGAAACAUGUUAAGCACCUAUCACCUCAGGCCUAGCCUGCAAGUGUCCUGGUAAGCCUCCCUGCACAAGGUCUCUCGUUCUGGGGCACCACCCCUGAAUCUCCUGUCACCUGUCAAGCCAGCUCCCCUGAGAUGUGCAGAACCAUAGGCGCCCAAUGCCCCCCCGACAGCAGCUAGAUUUAGGAAACUACUAGACCAUCCAGAAUUGCAUGGCUGGGAGGUUUGCCCACAUGGGACUUAAGUUCCAGAGAGGAUGAGACACAGACCUAAGCCAGAGCCACAAAGAUGGGAGGAGACCUUAGGAGACUGGAUCAACCAGGGGAACAGAAACGAUGUUGGGUGGAUACAAAGUGCUUGUGUUGCUGGGGACCUUCCAGGUAAGGUUUGGUUUAGUGACCUGUGCUCAUGGUUAGAAGGGAGGUUUUCAUUGUAGAGAAUGAAAGGAAUGACAUGAAUAUGGAAAAGAAAAACAAAUUAUUAAUGUUGAGCCAUCAGGCUAACAAAGGAGUCCAGGAAAGGGGGACAAAGAGUCAGUGGAGGCUCUAGUCUAUGUUGUGGCAAACAGAACGUCAUCACCAAAGAUGGGGCCAGGUGCAGGCUUCACAGCUGAAGACUGCCAGGUUGCUCCGAAGCCACUUUCAUGAGAGCAGAGAACAAAGGCGGGGAGAACACCCAAAGUUCUCCUUACAAAGCCAGUACACUCGGAUACAGAAGUGUCCAAAAAUAACAAACACAAAGAAGAAAACCACCCACCUCCCCAACCUAAUUUAUGAAUAUUGAUGCAAAAACCCUAAAGAAAUAAGUUAACAGACACCAGCAACACAUUACAACAAGGGCACUUCUAUGAUUAUGUCACUGUUAAUUGUUCAAAUGAGAAAAUCCCCAUGGUCGCUUUGGAGGGGGGAAAUUGGGGCUAUUACUAAUUUUCAUUUAUUAGAAAGGGUGAGGUGACUAUUUCUUUAUCCAGAUAAAAACUGAUUUGAAUCACAGAAUCCAGCAGCAUGCUUGUCAAAACCCAGAGACUUGCCCUUUUAAGUCUAAGACCAGAUACUGAAAUCAUCACACACUCAGCCCAGUGUUUUGGAAGUACCAGAUAUGAUGAAUGCAAUUACAUGAUCGUGCAAAUGAAGUAAAAUAAUACAACUGCCUCCUCCUUUAUACUUGCCAGUAAGAUGACUUUGUACUGAGAAAAUUAGUGAGACUCUAACAAAACUGUUACAAAUAAUAAGAGAAUUUAGCAGCAUGACAGGUUCAUCUGCAACAACUACGCAAGACUGCAAGGGACGAUUAACCUGAGCAGAUUAACAGCAACUACAGUGAACUCCCAACAGCACUUGGAAGGCCUGACUAGCACAGUGAGGUGAGCAGAAAUCUCUGGACACCUGUGCCAAAACUCAACUGAGACCAGUUCUGCAUCAAGGAAUGUCUGAAUCCAAUCAAAUGUUAAGACACAUUCUAACAAGAUUUUCUCAAUGAAUCCUGACAAGCUGAUGGUGAGCGUUCAUUUGGUUGAGAACAGAUAAUAGGUGUGUUGUUUUCUUUUUUUUAAAUAAUGAGAGGAACUACCAUUUUUCCAAGUUUGUUGUAAAGUUACAGUAAGUACAGCAAUAUGGUGUUUCCUCAGACACUGACAGAGACCAAGGGAGCAUAAGGGGCCAAGAAGGCCUGCACAUGGUGAUGACUAUGGGAAUUAAGUCUAUGAUAAAGAUGGCGUUUCCAAUAAUCAGAAGAACCAAGUCAGAAAACGGUGUUGAAAAAACUUGUGCCCCACAUCAUAUACACAAGGAAACCCAGUUACAGGAAACAGCUAAAAACCCCCCACAAAAAUACCAGAAUUGACAAAAGUAUUUGUACAACCUGCCUGUGUAUGACAUGAAACCUAGAAUAGGAGUAAAGCCAGAUUUGAAAGAAAAAUAUCUGAAAUCAUAAAACUUCUUUAUGGAGACUAAAUGUAAAAGAUAAAUGUUGGACUGGUAUUUGCAGUAUUAACAUCCAUAACAUAUAGUAUAUAGAGUC